GCAAGUCGAGCGCUUCCUUCGGGAAGAGCGGCGGACGGGUUAGUAACGCGUGGGAAUAUACCCAAAGGUACGGAAUAGCCUCUGGAAACGGAGAGUAAUACCGUAUGUGCCCUUCGGGGGAAAGAUUUAUCGCCUUUGGAUUAGCCCGCGUUGGAUUAGGUAGUUGGUGGGGUAAUGGCCUACCAAGCCUACGAUCCAUAGCUGGUUUGAGAGGAUGAUC
rnacentral:rRNA from 1 species